AAAAAAAACUGGUUUUGGGCUUUUGGGCAUUUCCGUCUUUUUCACUUAUUUUUCGGGCGUUUUAUUGGGUUUUAUUCCAUGUUGAUUAUCUAAUUAUUAGUUUUGUGUGUUUAUAUAAGUGUGUUGUCUUAUUUGUAAGUAAUAUAUUGUAGUUUAGUGUAAAUUGAAUUGUAAACGGAGUCUACCCCCCGAUCCCGGGGCAGGUUAUAUCCUCGAGUCCUCACAAAAUCUUCAUUCAUAUAUUCUUCAUCCCAAUGGACACGGAGGUCAUCCAAGUUCUAGGAAACUACAAACUCCUCCAAAUUCCGAUUAUCUCUUUUCCUCCAAAGAAAAACACAGUCGCACAAGCAAUCGGAUCUAUUCAGUCUGUGUAUACUUUACCAGAAUAUGAGGGUAACAGAAAACGGUAUUUGGAUCAGGAUGUUGCUUCUUUUUUGAUUCAUGUAAGCAAAGAUUGUGAGUCUUCGUCUAGUGCUACGCCCAAUUAAGUUUGAUCACUUCUUAUAACAUAACGAAAUCAAGGAUGUUGCUAAAGACGACGUUAAACUUAUCGGCCGAAACCGAGUCUCAGUUGAAUUCAAAACUGCUGUAGCCACAAAUUCUUUGUUAGAUUACCCAGGUCUUGCCGCAGCUAAAUACAAUGCCAUUAUUCCUUCAUACAAUGUGAAAUAGAAAAUAGCAUUUCUAUUUGGACUCCAACUCCGACAGUUGUUCUAACAUUUAUUGGCCAAAAGCUUCCAGAUAGGGUCUAUUCUUUUUACACUUCCCUCCCAGCUCAGACAUAUAUUUUACCAACUAUUCAAUGUAAUAAUUGCUGCAGGUUUGGGCAUAGUGCUACGCAAUGCCGGUCAAAGGUGUGUUGUUUUAUCUGUGUGAAAUCUCACUCUGGUAUUGACUGUAAUAGUUUAUUUCCUAUACCUACUUGUUUGUUUUGCUCUGGUAACCAUAAAGCCAUUGAUACAUCUUGCCCUGAACAUUCUAGACAGAAACCUAUCAAACUGGUGAUGUCACAAGAAAAUAUCUCGUACAACGAAGCAUCAGUCAGAUUUCCAUAAGUUUUUCAGAUAUUUCUUGUACGUCUCCCCCCCCCCUUUUUUUCCCCACUCAAUCUUCCCAAACCCUACCCCAAUCUUCUCCCCACACCUAAGCCAUAUCCAGUUCAGUCUUGUACUUGUAUUACCCAAAAAUCUCCUCCAGCUCCGGCAUCCAGUUCAGGUUAUGAUAGGCAAGCUCAUCAAGCUAUCAUUAGUGCUCCCCAUUCUAGUAGCCCUAAUGGGAGUGCCUCUCCUUCAGAUGGUGUAUCUGCCAAUGAUAAUCUCCUGGAACUCUUACUUUCUACAAUUUUAAAUAUAUUUCCCUGCUUUGGAGACUUUGAACUGCUGAAAAAUCUCAUAUAUAAACUUAUUGAGGUUUAUAAAACUAUUAAAAAUUCACAAAUUCCUACUAUGGAAUUGUCACAGUAUUCGUCACAAGAAGAAUGAUAACAUCAUUCUUAUUAAUAAAUACAAACUUUCUAUUUUUGCUGUCCAGGAGACAUGGCUUAAGGCCAGAUCUAACUUUAGGAUCCCAGGUUUCUCAUGUCUCCAGGACGAAAAAUCACAUGGUUAUGCUGGAUGUGGUAUUUUAGUAUCUAGAAAUGUGAUAUUUAAACAAAUAUCCCUUCCUUCCCACAGUAAUAGCAAUUUUGCUGUUGUUGUUAGAGUUCAUAAUAUUUCUUUCCUCUCCAUCUAUAUCCCUGAACCUAACCUAGCUCUUCUCUCUGAAUUAAAAACUAUUAUUACAAGUCUUCCUCCACCUAUCCUUAUCUUUAGAGAUUUUAAUAUUCACUAUACAUCUUGGGGUUGUUAUUACUGUGAUACUAUUUCUUUUCUUUUUCUUGAUCUCUGUGAUGAUCUAGAUUUGUGUUUAUUGAAUGACGGGACCCCUACUCGCAGAGUUCCUCCAUCUCAGAAUCCAAAGACUGUUUUCUUUAACUUCUCUCCUGGUCUGUCCUUUCUUCCACUGGCGGUAGUGAUCAAUUCGUGUCAAUUGAUUCCCUUAAUUCUAUUCCUAUUGCUUCCCUUCCACCUCUCACAAAGCUGAUUGAUCACAAUCAGAUCCCAUUUAGAUAAAAAAAUAAUGAAUAUUCCUUUGAUUAACCCUGACAAUGUCCUUUCUUCUUAUGUAUUUUUUAGAAACACAGGAUGUUUGAUAUCAAAAUCUAAACUAGCAUUACAUAUUCUACCUAUUCUUAACACAUCUUGUUCAUCUAAAAAUGGGUGCAACUUUCUCAAUUUAUUAAAAGUUUUACAUAUUUUAUUUACAUUUUUACCAUCCUCCAUUACUUACGAUUAUUACGUAAUAAGUCUUCUAUUCCAUCAUUCUUAGUAUUCGUAAUAAAAUAGGUGUAGGUAUCCUUACCUAAUAUUACAAAUGCAAAAGUGAAUGUGUUUAUUUGUUAGUUUAGCUUCCACACUAGCAGCACCGCAAGUAGGUAGUCAAUCAUCAUGAAAUUUUAUUAUUUAUAGGAAAGAAACUACCAUCACCAAAAAUAUGUGCAGGCAAAAAUCAGUAAUAUAGCGUCCAUUGACUAGUAAAAACAAUUUAAAGUUGAAUAAACUACUCGAAACAAAAUAGGGCCCGCCAUGUUUUAUAAAUGAAUUUUACAAAUUCUUUUUCUUUUUUCAGUUUUUAUUAUUAGAAAUGAAUAAAUUAAGGUUUUUGAAAGUUUGUAUUAACAAGAGUAAGUUUUGCCAAUUUUAUGGAAUUCAGUCAAAAUUUACAAUUUUUAGGAAAGUUGACAGAAAUAAUUUAAGUAAAGUUUGAUUUUAAUUUUUAUUAUUGACAAAAUCAAUGAGUUUGAUGGUGCUUAAUAGCGAGUAGGUCCUCCUCUGUUCCAUAUGCACUCUCUGAAUCUAUCUGGGACACUUUCAAUCAAGUGGUCAUGUUUUCCUCGGGUAUUCGCUCCCAACACAAUUUUAGGGCGUUUAUGAGCUCUUGUCGAUUUGUCACAUUACUGAAGUUCAAUUUGGGGCUUCUUUUCAAUUGGUCCCAUAAAUGUUCAAUGGAGUUAAGAUCGGGACUCAUGGCCGGCCACGUUAAAACCGUAAUAUUGGCUCUCUGGUUUGUUUGGGCUGUAUGUGGGCGAGCAUUGUCUUGCAUAAAGACGAAGUUUUCACCCGCUCUUUGUGAAAAUGGGAUGACAUGGGGCCGAAUUUUCCGAUUGACAUACUGGGAGGUAGUUAUGGAGCUUUCUUUCAGAAUUACCAGCUCAGUUUUACCGAGCAAGCUCUUUCCAGCCCACAAGAAGAUAGAACAAGAGACCUCCAAAACGAUCCCUUUCAAAUAUGCAAGGUUCUGAAAAACGUUCUCCUUCUCUUCUCCACACGCGCACGCAAAGAUCAUCGUUGAAAAACUUUACUUUCAUCCGUAAAGAGUAUAUUUCUCCGGUUAUCUAUUGUCCAUUCGGCAUGCUUGCGAACAAACCUCAAACGUGCUGCACAAUGCGCUUUUUCAAUUUCAGAUGAAUCACUAAUUCGUAGGCCAGUCGAUUGCCGCAGUCGAUUUUGUAAGACACGGGCGGUAAUCGUACGCUUUCAACGUGCAGUCAAUCUGAUAUACCGGUCUUCUUGGAAAGGUUGUGUAGUGGACUGUACUUAGGAUGGGCAAGGAACUUGAUUAAUAAACUCGCGAGGAUUGUACGUAUAAAAUUUGUAUAUUUUAGAAAUUUUAUAAAUCGCGUACAAUAGCACGGAUAAAAGAGAAUGACAAAACUAAGACAUUCCAAAAUUCAAAAUUCAAAUGUAAUGUCAAAAACCACAACGACAACAAUAAAAAAGGUUUUAUACCAUUUUGUUGGGUUUCCAACAUGCUGCGGCCUCAGAAAUGAUAUAUUUUCAAGAAAGUUAUACAAUAUUAAAUUAAUGUAAUAACUUAUACUCACCAUUUUUUUAUGGGAUAAAGACAAUCUUUAUAAUCAUCUAUGAUAAAAUUUAACAUUUAAGAAUUAACUUUAGACACAAAAUCAGAAAUGCAAAGACAGAUUCUAAUCAGUACAUCAUAUUAAGAAUACAAAUGUGAGCUCAAAAAAUACAUUAAGGAAUUUUUAUACCUAGACCUAUAUAUAUAGCUACAUUCGCGUGUUCUGUGACUUUUGUGAAACAAUGUAUUAAAUUAAAUUAAUUAACAGAACUUACGUCAUAUUUUUAUCUAGACAUUAAAAUAAUAACACAUUAAAUAUUAUCAAACGGUAACAAACAUACAGCUGACAGUGACCUUCUAUAAACUUUGCCAUUAGGGGCAGUAACGUCAAAGGCUCGUACUUUACCAUCCCCACCUGGGAAAACCUUGGAAAUUCUAGCUAACGGCCAAUAAAGAGGAGGUGAAUUUGGUUCCUUCAAUAAUACCAUCUUACCUAUACUAAUAUGUGGUAAGGUAUCGCGCCAUUUCAGUCUCGCUUGUAAAAUAUUUAAGUAUUGCCUAUGCCAAGUUUUCCAAAAUGACUGUUUCAUACUCUCAACUAACCGCCAAAACCUAAGUCUAAUUACUGGCGUUUCUGAGAUAUCUGGUUCAGGGAAGCUAGUGAGCGGAGCUCCCACUAAGAAGUGACUUAGAGUGAGGUAGCUGAAAUCUGUAAUGUCUGUAGAGACGGACAUCAAGGGUCUAGAAUUGAAUGAAAAGUUAUUUGGGCAUUUAAUGACAAAACAAUCUUUCUUUGUGUCAAUUGUCAUUCCUAGCGCCUUGAUACUGCUGUUUUCUUUUUGAACUUCAAUUUUAUCUGUCUCUCAUUUAAAGGAAUAUCAGCUAAGAUCUCAUCGCACUUAGAUGACCAUUUAUGCAUUUGGAAGCCACUCAAGCUUAACAAACGUUUUAGCUGCUGUUUCGCCUCAUGUAAAACCGUUAAAUCGUUAUUCGGAUAUAAAACAUCAUCAACAUAAACACAAUUCUUUAUAAUGAAGCAAGCUAUGGUAUGUAUUAUGGUAGUAGCAAUGUCAGAUUCACAUGUACAUAAAAGUGAAACAAUUUUCGUUACCUCAUGUUGAGGUGGCAGACUACCCGCGAUAAUGUGACCAAAUGUUGUGUUGAUAAUCUGUGGCGUUCCUUUACUCUGGCUGGCCGGGUUGACUAGAGGCUGGCGUCGCGUCGCGCACGUCGAGCUGGUCGUCGCCGGUAACAGUGCAGAAGUAACAUCCUCGCUUCUCCUUAGCGGUCACUGCGUUGACUACUUUGGUGGUAACUCUUCCACCAGGUAAAUCUACUAAAGACCAAGUAUUAUUGUGAAUGAGGGACUCACACUCUUCUUUUAUUGCCUGUUUCCAUUUUUCAGAUUCAUUACUUUGAAGAGCUUCUUCCAAGCUCGGGAUCAUUGUUAAGAAGGCUUGAUGUAGACUCACCAUUCAUGCAAAUAUAUAGAGAUGGACUUUCAUUAUUUGUUUGCAACUUUCUUUGCCGACGGGUUUUGAUACCUGUCUCAUUUGCAGGCGAGAUGUCAACACUCUGUCUUGGUAAGUAUGUAUCAUCUAGUGGAUCUUUAUAAUCUGUAUUACUUGAAGUAUCUGUGAUAUUAUUACUCAGAUUAUUUGAAGAAGUCUGCUCUUCCUCACCUGUAUUUUGCAGUUAUACCUAUGAGAUAUCUAAUCGACGUGUAUCGUACAGGUGCGUAUAUCUCAUUGUAAUCUAUUACAUAUUUAUAUAUUUUAGGUUUUUCCCAACACCCUUUAUAUGAAGUAACUUUAUCCCCGCUCUUUGUUCAAUUUUAUCCAUUUUGAAAACAUUGAAAUUGCCUGGAUGCACAAUCGUUUAAGCAUGUAGUGAUAAAGGCCUAUAACGGGCCUUCUUUUCUAUGCACGUACUCUUCAUUUAUAUAUUUAUCAAAUUGGCGAAUUCCCGCGGCUAUUGAACUACUAAUAAUUGACGACGUUUCAGAGUCUUAUUCAUCCCAAACACUUUUUUUGAUAAUAGCCGGGGUUGUGGAAUGUCCUGUAUUUUUUCAAUAUCGACUACUUGAGGAGAGUUUUCUAUUUCUUCCGGCAAUCUUAACUCGCAUAUACGACGUUUCAGGAUGUGGCACGCUUUUUUAAACGUAUCUGGAGUUCGGAAGUCUCUUCUUUUAAAUCUCGGAUCUAAAGUUGCACUUUCCGAGUAAAGGCCGGCAACUCCAUCUGUUUUUGUAUUUCUUGGAGUUUAUUUAAUACAGCCGAACUUUUUUUUAAAUACUUAACUAUGCACUUUACUUUGUUAGUAGUUUGGGUAAUUGUUGUAAUAGCCUGUUGAAGUACCAAGUUCAGCGAAUGAGCAAAGCAACCAACUGAUCGCCACUCUCCCAUUCUAACGGCUUAUAAGACGUUGCGUCGGAGAUACAUAUUUGUAAUGAAACCAACGAGAGUCCGAAUAAUACUCUGUUUUAUUUGAUAGACACUUAUAGGUUUACAUUAGGUAAGUUAACAUAGAUUAUAAGGAAUGUUUCAUACAUCACAGGCUCCUAAAAUGUUUGUGGCGUUGUCGCUGACAAUACAUACAAUUUUAUUAUUUAUUUGCCAAUCGCAGAUAACUUGCUUCAAAAAAACAAGUAAAUUAGCACUGGUGUGCCCUUCAUUAUAAUUAAUACACCCCAAGAGUGCAGAAUCCAGUUGACCUUUGGCGUCCAUAAAAUGCGCCGUAACCGAUAUGUAACUUUUAUUGGUUAUUGACGUUCAACCGUCAGUACAGACUCAAACAUAUUGAACCUCUAGUAACUUUUUCUGUAUAGACUCGAAGGUGCAUAGUUCCUGGGCACCAAAGUUGUUGAUAACGUUUUUCUGGUUGGAAGUUGGUAUCCUGGGCACUUAGAUACCAUAACGAUAAUUAUUUUUAAUUCAGGUUCCUCCACCAUUCGCAAAGCGUGGUGACCUUUAACCACCAUUCUAACAACUUGAUUAUCGAUUUGAUCGACUUUCUUAUAUAAUUGGUGAUUGGAUUUAAUUGUGCAGGUCUGGAUAUACAUAACAGAAUAUUCGGGGUACUGUCUUGUAUAACUAAACUUGUGGAUGCUAAAUUAUUGAUAUUAGAUGAUGGUGUUACUGUAGAUUGUCUAGAUAUUGUUGGGUGUUUAUUUCUCAUCUGACGAUUCAAGUUUCCUAAAGAGCCACUUUUCGUGCUGAGGUAAAGGGAGCAAUGGUUACAUUUUGCUCGACAUUCAUUUGUGCCCUCCGUAAAAUGAAACCAGAUGUUACUUCUCUUAGUUUUUGCCGCCAUUUUUAACCAAAAUAAUAAUCUAGAAGUAAAUUUUACGGAAUUCGAACUACCUAAUACUUAUGAAGAGGCAAUGAACAGUCCAAAUUCUCAUAUAUGGAAGAAAGCUGUGGUUGAAGGGCUUCAGUCACAUAAAAAAUAAACUUGGAUACUAACUGAUCGAACAGAGAAGAAACCUGUGUCUUGUAAAUGGUUAUUCAACAUAAAGAAAAAUAAAGAUGGAGAAAUAGAACGCUUCAAAGCACGACUGUGUGCACGAGGGUUCACACAAGUCAAAGUGUGACAAUUGUAUAUUUGUGGGAUAUUUUAGAGAUAUAAAUGUAAUGUUAAUUCUUUAUGUUGAUGAUGGAUUACUACUGGCAAAAAGUAAAGCUGUUUUAUCUAAAAUAUUAACUAUUUUCAAACAAAAGUUUGAUAUUAAGAUUAUAAAUAUUAAUUCAUUUAUUGGUAUGGAAAUAAAUCAAGAAAAAAAUUGUAUAAGCAUAAGUCAAAGACAGUAUGUAUAUUAAAACAAUAUUAAAUAGAUUUAAUUUGCUAAAUGCAAAAGGUGGUAAUACCCCUGCUGAUGUAAAUGUAGAUUUAUCUAAGAGUACAAGCAAUGAGCCUAUUAAUUUUCCAUACAGAGCUAUUGUAUAUUUGCAGUUGUACGCUUUUUUAAAACUCACCUUCAGCGCAACAACAUACUUUCUUGAAGAAUAGAUCGACUACCACUAACUUAAUUACUUUCACUGAAUAUCUCACGCGUAAUAUGGAUUCUGGAGGUGAAGUCGUCGUGGCCCAAAGGAUAAGGCGCCCGGUGCAGUCGUAUGUGGCGACGCAUCGGUGUUCGAAUCCCGCCAGCGGGUACCAAUUUUUCCAAUGAAAUAGUAUAUAUAGAGAUGCAGUAAUUAAUAGAUAGAGAUGUAGAAGUCAUCACAUACUUUCACUCGAAGCAAGGCGCAUAGCUGUUUUUUUUUUAUAGCGGAGUGGCUGUCUUAGGUGGACUCGUUAUCUUCUAUCGUUGUUGUGUUUAAGGAUGCCUCCUAGAUCCAUAAUGCGUGAGACCUGUCAAUCAUUUCGUCUCAGUACACCGAGAUCAGUAUUAUAGACGUAAUGCAUAGUGUAUAAAAACUGCUAAGAGCUACAUGGAUAUAGUUAGUAUAGUUAAUAUAUACUAUAUAUAUAUAGUAUAGUGUAGUUAUAUAAUAUAUUGUUUAGCUACAUCCCCAUACAGUAUAUACCUCUCAUCUCUACUGAACACAAACGAUUUCUGCUGAUGUUACGCCUAGUCUGACCGCGUCACUCAAAAUACAUGUGGUGCGUGGCGCGCGCGACUUUGCCGCUCUUACGUCGACCGACAACGCGGUAACAGAAACGGAACAGGCGCUGUACGCUCGACGCACUAACACAUCAUCGGUUAAUUAAGCCUAAUUCGGACUAGACUAGUAUUUUAGUCGACUAUCAAGUAAUUUAGUGGCUAAACUACUCGCUACUGCACAGAAAUCGUUCGCAUAAUGGUCCAGUACAGGACACAAGUGAGUGGUGUUUUGCAAGAUGAACGGGCUGCAAUGCAAUAGUGAAUAAACUGAUUAAGCUAUUGGUAAUGGCUAUUUUAGAAGAGGUGGAUGAGGAAAUUUCUUUGAUUAAAAAAAAAAGAAGUUAUGGGUACGAAAAUAGAACGAUGAGAGAGAUAAACUAGGGGUUACUAAGUGUCUUCUGAAGGAAUUAGCAUUGGAAGAUCCCAAAGUAUACUUCGAUAGUUUGAGAAUGUCCUAAAGUUGUGUGAAUUUUCUUUUAACGAAAGUACACUCUCAAAUUCAGCGUAAAGAUACCCAUUUGAGAAGUGCGAUUUCUGCAAUUACAAAAUUACAAGCAGUUCUAUACUUUCUUGCUACUGGAUGUAGUUUAAGAUCACUCACAGAUAUAUUUAGACUUUGGAAAAUCAACUAUUUCCGAAUUCAUCAUCGAAGUUUGUGAAGCAAUCUAUGAAUCAUUAAUGGAAUUUAUCAAGCUCAGUGUGAAGCUGGGACUUUUGGGAAUCGCUGGUUGCUGGCUGACAGUGCCUAUCCAAACAGAUGCUAUAUGUUGACACCAAUUUUAAAUCCUAGUGCUAGAAAUGAAUAAAAAUAUAAUGAUGCACAUAUUGCAACAAGAAACCUUAUUGAAAGAACCUUCGGUGUAUAGAAGCGAUGUUUUUCAGUGAUCUCAUUAUCUAUGCGCUUAUCACUAGAAAACAUUCAGAAAGUUAUAAUAUCUACAGCAGUUCUACACAACAUCUGUAGAAUUAAUAAUUUGCAAGAAACCCCAGCAGAGGUACUAAUACCAUUCCAAGCAAUGGAUGAUGAUGAUCUUCAAACUAUGGGAGUACAAGAUAGCAGGGAUAGAGCAGAAUUAAUAGAAGCCUAUUUCUCAACUCUGUAGAGUGCAAAAGAAACUUAUAAAGUUGAGAAUUAACUCAUUCCCGUCUUAACUUGGAAGUAUUAAGAUAAUAAAAUAAAACCUUUUUGUAUGUAA